ACACGACUACAUUAGAUACCCGUGUAGUCCUAGCCGUAAACGAUACUCGCUAGGUGUCGGCCACGGUGCGACCGUUGUCGGUGCCGUAGGGAAGCCGUGAAGCGAGCCACCUGGGAAGUACGGCCGCAAGGCUGAAACUUAAAGGAAUUGGCGGGAGCACCACAACGGGUGGAGCCUGCGGUUUAAUUGGACUCAACGCCGGGAAGCUCACCGGAUAAGACAGCGGAAUGAUUGCCGGGCUGAAGACUCUGCAUGACUAGCUG
rnacentral:rRNA from 1 species